GUCAGUUCAGGAAAGCCGGGGGAGGAAAUCCUUAAAGGCGCAUCCUGAGAGGAAGACCUGUAUGAAGUGUCUGCGCACAUUGGGGUUUCUAUAAACAGGUUUCAGUCUGCUCUGCAUCUCCAGCAGUGACAGUCCUAACUGGGCUGCGAGUGAAUGCGUUCUUUAAUGCAGUCGUGGUUUCUGUCAGGGUUGAAAUGUGUCCAGAUGGAGGGACCCCGCUGUGCAAGCCUGACCGGCGCUCGGGGGUGAGUGUGGAGAACUGAUGGGUGGGGAUCCGGUCUAACUGGACUCUUUCUCACCGCCCGGCUGCCGAGUUUUGGCACGCCACCGUCCCUCGGCUCAGGUUACAGGACUGUGGGUGCCCAUGCAUACUUGAAUGGAGAAUCCCAGUCUGCUCUGCAUACAACAACAGACUGGGAAUCAGCAGCUGCCUAGAGAUUUGGAUGUCUCUUUUGGUCCUUUGUCUCUUAUAUAAGAAACAAACACAAAUAGUUCAAACUGUAUAUAGUUCAAUUUAUUUAUAUAUAGAUUAAAAUUAUGCUUAAAGCAUUUUUUAUGUAUAAUGUCAUAGUUUAAAGGGACACAUGUGGGAAAUGAGGGGACUUAUUUCAUAUAUCCCCCAAAAGUCUAAAAACCUUGAGGCCAGUUUUAUGUUUGGAUAAUAAAUAAGAUUUUCCAUGGCUUAAAAUAAAAAAAAAAUAUUUGAAGAGUUAGACACAUCUUGUUGAUUUAUCAGAUUAAAAUUAAAAUGUGUAUUAAAAUGUUAAAAUAAAUAUACAUAAAAUAUUAGAAAAAUAUAGAUAUCGGCUGGGCUUUAAAGCAAUGGUUAAUCCGCAAAAAAUAUUCUGUCACCAUUUUCCCUCAUGUUGUUCCUAAUCCAGAUGACUUUUUUCUAUUCAGUAAUUAACUAAAAAUUCAAUGUUCUUUAGGCAAAGCUAUCUUGGCUUCAUAAAAACAUAUGUAUCGAGUCUUUAUUCAUCAUUUUAUGUUAAUUUUGGAGCUUUACAAACAGGGGCGUUGCACAAGAUCUCGGGCCCUAUGCAUAGGCAGUCCUGAUGGGCCCCAUACCCCACCCCAUAAUAUAUUUCAGACUUUUCAAGGGCCCUCUCUUCCUUUGGGGCCCUGGUAAUCAGUACUGGUUUUACCCCCAGUCCGACGCCCCUGUUUACAAAUCCUGGUAACCAUUUUGAACAUUCCACCGAAUCGGUGCCAAAACUAACUCUAAAAACCAUUUUUUAUUAAGCAAAGUUUCCUGCAUAUUAAUCUAACACUAAAUUUAAACCAUGUCAUUUAAAACAUUAAUAAAAACUACAUAGA